rnacentral:rRNA from 1 species
AACGAACGCUGGCGGCGCGCUUAACACAUGCAAGUCGAACGAGAAGGCGUAGCAAUACGCUUGUACAGUGGCGAACGGGUGAGUAAUACGUGGGCGACCUACCCUCGAGUGGGGAAUAACCCGCCGAAAGGCGGGCUAAUGCCGCGUACGCUUCCAUCUUUAUGGAGGUGGAAGGAAAGCCGUGCCGUGGGCACGGCGCUCAAGGAUGGGCUCACGUCCUAUCAGCUUGUUGGAGGGUAACGGCCUACCAAGGCUCCGACGGGUAGCUGGUCUGAGAGGACGAUCAGCCACACUGGCACUGCGACACGGGCCAGACUCCUACGGGAGGCAGCAGUGAGGAAUAUUGCGCAAUGGGCGAAAGCCUGACGCAGCGACGCCGCGUGGGGGAUGAAGUAUUUCGG